rnacentral:tRNA from 1 species
GAGAAGGACAGGCGACCUGCUAAUUCGACACACCAAAUUUAAUCAUUUGGCCCUCUCC